GCAGACGCUAGUCUUCGGUCCGCCUCUUACAUUACAUGAACGACCCCCAAAUCUCGUUCAUUUUCCACGCCUCCAAAAUCCGAAAAUAGAGACUUCUCUUUCCUUCUUCACACUCUUAAUCACAGAUCCUCCCCACGUUUUCUCUACGAUUGCUGUCUCUCUCACUGCAACCCUUCAGACCCUUUUCCUAGCGUGACCUCCCUUCAUUCCUCACGAGCUCUGUUCUGAUAAGAGCUUUGUGUUCGUGAGGGGUCUCUCGUUUUCCUCAUUUACACCGCACCCAAAUCACCUCGUACAAGUGUAUGGCAUUUUGAGGAUGUGGGUGUAUUGAAUUUGUGUGUUGGCUUUGUGGGUUGUCGCUGGAAUCGAUUUUCCGAAUGGGAAGUGGAGGAUUCAGUGUGCGAUCUUCGGUUAUUUGGAGGUAUGCUCUGAGUGAAUUCUUGUGGUUGAUUUAGAUCUGAUUAGCAUUUUUUGGUAUAGUUUUUGAUGCAUUGAGUUCUGAUGAGGUGGAGUUGUUUGGGAUUGUUUGGAAUGUGAUGGAUUUGGGGACAUUUGUGUUGUUUAUUUGAUUGAUUUUUGUGGCGUUUUUGGAGGAAAGAAGGAUUUGAAAACAUGGAAAUAUCGAGUGGGUUGAGGCUCAGUUCACAUGGAUUAAACAGAGAGAAAAACAAGGACAAUGAAGGGACGGAUCUUGGAAAUCUUGAAUUGGAGACGGCUGUGCAUGAUAUCCGGUCUGAUUACCAUAUUCAUUCCAUGAACGCAUUGGAGAUUUUGAGAGAAACAGUCAGGAUUCUUCGAUAUAAUUCAACAGGUUUUAUGGCAAUUGUGGCAGUGUUAAUCUGUCCUGUUUCAGCCGUGGUGUUGUCCAAUGUGUUGGUUGAUCAAUCCCUCGUGAAGAUAUUGUCUUUACGGCUAUUGCUAAUUGCAAAGUCCAGUGGACUCCCUCUUAAGCCUUUUGUAAAACAGUCUUGCCAGAAGUUGUCGGAAAUGGCGGUUUCAGCUACAAUGUGCUUCCCGCUGUUCAUUACAUUGUUGCUCUUGUCCAAGGCUGCUAUUGCCCAUUCGGUUGAUUGUACUUAUUCAAGGAGAAAGUUUGAUUCCUCCAAGUUUUAUGUUAUUAUUUCUAAGAUCUGGAGGCGCAUUGUCUUCACAUACUUGUGGGUGUGUGUUGUAAUCUCCGGUUGCCUCAUUCUAUUCAUUGUCCUCCUGGUUGUUGUGAGCAGCAUGUUCUUGUUUAUGGGAUUCCCGCCAGACUUAAUUCUUUAUCCUGCUAUGGUAGUGGGAUUCUUAUUCUCAAUCAUUUUAGCAAAUGCUAUUAUUAUUUGCAGCAUUGCCAUUGUAAUAUCUGUUCUUGAGGAUGUUUCAGGGCCACAGGCAUUGCUAAGAUCUAGUUCAUUAAUUAGUGGACAGACUCAAGUUGGAUUAUUGAUUUUUCUUGGAUCGACUAUAGGUAUGGCGUUUGUCGAGGGUCUCUUUGAGCAUAGGGUGAAGACACUCAGUUAUGGAGAUGGCUCUUCCAGGAUAUGGGAAGGCCCCCUUUUAGUUCUGAUGUAUUCAUUUGUGGUGCUAAUUGACUCAAUGAUGAAUGCAGUUUUCUACUUCAGUUGUAAAUCUUAUCGCAUGGAAUCUGCUGAUGCAGAAAGUGAACCAGCUUUGGAAGCCCCGACUGUUCCAUCUGGAUCAGCAGAUGUUCAAUGACAGCAUCUCAGAUUUCAUUUGUGGUACGAGACGCCACUACAAUUUUUUGAAGAAAUGUAGAUACGGAAAGGAUAUCAAUCGACGUGUUAUCAAGAAUUACUUUAAUAUCUGCAACAUGGUUACUGAAGAAGAAAGGCAUCUGAUGUCAUGAAGAUUGGAUCAUCCACAAGUAUAGUAUCUUCGCAAAAGUUUAUAUAAGUUAUAGUCACAUACCUUGUAGUACUUUUUCUCCCUUUACAAUUAAUACACCCCAGUGGAAGUUGUUGGCUAAUUGAAAGAUUGCUGGCAAGUUUCUUUCCUUAAUUCUAAUUUAGGAUUAAUGAACUUAUAAAGCAACAUGCAUGUACAAGUAUAUGUUGUCAAGAGAAGUUAGAAUUUUGUGUUUCCGAGUGCCAAACUGCUGACCUUUAUGCUCAAGGCUUUUCAGUGCCUAGUUUUAACAUAAUUACAUGGGA